AGCUGCGUGGCGCAGCGGAAGCGCGCCGGGCUCAUAACCCGGAGGACGAAAGAUCGAAACUUUCCGCAGCUA
rnacentral:tRNA from 1 species